rnacentral:rRNA from 1 species
CCUACGGGAGGCAGCAGUGAGGAAUAUUUGUCAAUGGGCGCGAGCCUGAACCAGCCAAGUCGCGUGAGGGAAGACGGUCCUAUGGAUUGUAAACCUCUUUUGUCAGGGAGCAAAGGGCGCCACGUGUGGCGUUUUUUGAGUACCUGAAGAAAAAGCAUCGGCUAACUCCGUGCCAGCAGCCGCGGUACUCCUGGGGAUGCGAGCGUUAUCCUGAUUUAUUGGGUUUAAAGGGUGCGCAGGCGGAAUGUCAAGUCAGCGGUAAAAUUUCGGGGCUCAAACCCGUCGUGCCGUUGAAACUGGCGUUCUUGAGUGAGCGAGAAGUAUGCGGAAUGCGUGGUGUAGCGGUGAAAUGCAUAGAGAGCACGCAGAACUCCGAUUGCGAAGGCAGCAUACCGGCGCUCAACUGACGCUCAUGCACGAAAGCGUGGGUAUCGAACAGGAUUAGAUACCCUUGUAGUC